rnacentral:rRNA from 1 species
UCCUGGCUCAGAAUCAACGCUGGCGGCGUGCCUAACACAUGCAAGUCGCACGAGAAAGGGUAGCAAUACCUGAGUAAAGUGGCGCACGGGUGAGUAACACGUGACUAACCUACCUCCGAGUGGGGAAUAACUUCGGGAAACCGAGGCUAAUACCGCAUAACACUUACGAGUCAAAGCAGCAAUGCGCUUGGAGAGGGGGUCGCGGCAGAUUAGCUAGUUGGCGGGGUAAUGGCCCACCAAGGCGAUGAUCUGUAUCCGGCCUGAGAGGGCGCACGGACACACUGGAACUGAAACACGGUCCAGACUCCUACGGGAGGCAGCAGUGGGGAAUUUUGCGCAAUGGGGGAAACCCUGACGCAGCAACGCCGCGUGGAGGAUGAAGUCUCUUGGG